AAGAGAGGUUAAAAUCUGUUUAGUGGCACAAGAAUGGUAAGUAAAAUGCUUUUUACGCCAAAGGACAAACAGAGUAGUAUAUAAAGUCCAGGCUAGAUUUCAUAAGGGAUGCAUGCAGGAGUAUCUUUCAGGGCAAAAAAAAAAAAAAACAACCCCAAAAUAUUUUUGUAAAUUAAUAUAAAUUCUUCUCCCCUGCUAAUUUUGCUACUUUUAAUAGCAGAUUUCUACUCUAACAUCAUCAGGAAAAUAAUGUGGACAUUUAGUACAGAAAAUUAAAGACUAUGAGAUACAUUUCUGAUAAAUUAAAAUUAAUUUUAUUCUAUUAAAAAUUAGGAAAAUGGGCCGCCGUGGGCAUCUGACAAAACACACCAAGUUCGUGCGGGACAUGAUUCGGGAUGGGUGCGGCUUUGCCCCAUACGAGCGGCGUGCCAUGGAGUUACUGAAGGUCUCCAAGGAAAAACGGGCCCUCAAACGUAUCAAGAAAAGGGUGGGGACACACAUCCGCGCCAAGAGGAAGCGGGAGGAGCUGAGCAACGUAUUGGCCGCCCUGAGGAAAGCUGCUGCCAAGAAAGACUGAGCCCCUCCCCUGCCCUCUCCCUGAAAUAAAGAACAGCUUGACAGAAAAAAAAAAA